UGGGGAAUAUUGCAUAAUGGGGGAAACCCUGAUGCAGCGACGCCGCGUGAGCGAUGAAGGCUUUCGAGUCGUAAAGCUCUGUCCUAUGGGAAGAUAAUGACGGUACCAUAGAAGAAAGCCCCGGCUAAUUACGUGCCAGCAGCCGCGGUAAUACGUAAGGGGCGAGCGUUGUCCGGAAUUAUUGGGCGUAAAGAGUGCGUAGGCGGCAAAUUAAGUCAGAUGUGAAAACUAAGGGCUCAACCCAUAGAUUGCAUCUGAAACUGAUAUGCUUGAGUCAAGGAGAGGAAAGUGGAAUUCCUAGUGUAGCGGUGGAAUGCGUAGAUAUUAGGAGGAAUACCGGUGGCGAAGGCGACUUUCUGGACUUGAACUGACGCUGAGGCACGAAAGCGUGGGGAGCAAACAGG
rnacentral:rRNA from 1 species